rnacentral:rRNA from 1 species
UACGGAGGGAGCUAGCGUUGUUCGGAAUUACUGGGCGUAAAGCGCACGUAGGCGGCUUUGUAAGUUAGAGGUGAAAGCCCGGGGCUCAACUCCGGAACUGCCUUUAAGACUGCAUCGCUUGAAUCCAGGAGAGGUGAGUGGAAUUCCGAGUGUAGAGGUGAAAUUCGUAGAUAUUCGCAAGAACACCAGUGGCGAAGGCGGCUCACUGGCCCGGUACUGACGCUGAGGCACGAAAGCGUGGGGAGCAAACAGG